CAGCUCCAUUCCCCCGGCAGCUGUGCAGAGAGGCCUGCAGGUCCAAGCCAUCAGUAGCAGCCCCUGGGAUAUCCAGGACAUCAGCACAUAGAACCAGUAAAAGGGUCCUCCCUCAUAGCGACGCAUGUCAUAGACUCAGAUUUAUACAGACAAAAGCUGAGUAAACCAUGAAAAGAGUCUCUGGUAUUUUCAACAAUAUCACCACAGAGGAACCGUAUUGAUUUCCUUGUUACUGUGCUUCCUGGCAUCAGUUCGUAUCUGUGGAAUGAAGAAGGUGUCCUUGAUGUAAUUCCAAAUCUAACACUCUAUAACUGUAGGAUGACAUCCCUAGCCCUUUUAUAUAAUUGUUGUAACUAUUAAAGAAUAAAAGCAUAGAACAGGAAACGCCUAAAAAGACUGCUUCUACAGAUGAACUAUGGAAAUACCUCCUUAGUGACACUUUAAAACAAUCUGCACUGUACUAAGAAAACAGCACUUUGAACUAUCUGUAGACAUAGCAACUAACAGGAUGUCUGCCACACAGCACCAGCUGAAUACGUUCUUGAUAAAUGAGUAAAUGAUUGUUACGUGAAUGCAUGUUUCCAUUCCUGUCAUUAUCCUACAACAACUCCAAAGGGAAUACAAUAAAUUCUAUCCAAUGAAUGA